UUAGACUUCUCAGAUGCAGACAAAUGUGUCGACUGCAUUAAAGGAAAAGUCGCAAAAACAAUUCAGAAAGGAGCAGUAAGAGCCACAGGGGUUUUAGAAUUAAUUCACACCGACAUAUGUGGACCCCUUAAUGUUAAGUCUGUAGAUGGUUUUGAUUCAUUCAUUACAUUCACAAACGACUUUUCCCGCUAUGGGUAUAUUUAUCCCAUACGUGACCGAUCGGAAGCUUUGGAGAAAUUCAAAGUCUAUAAAGCGGAGGUUGAAAAUCAACUGAACGUAAAAAUUAAAGUUGUACAGUCUGAUCGCGGGGGAGAGUAUUAUGGUAGGCAUGCUCCUUAUGGGCAGAUUCCUGGAACUUUUGCCAAGUUCUUAUCUGAAAAUGGAAUCAUUGCUCAGUACUCAAUGCCUGGUGAACCACAACAAAAUGGUGUGACCGAGCACCGCAACCGCACCCUUAUGGAUAUGGUGCGAAGCAUGCUUAGUCACUCGAGUUUACCAGUAAGCCUUUGGAUAGAGGCAUUAAAGACAGUUGCACACAUACUAAAUGUU
rnacentral:rRNA from 1 species